rnacentral:rRNA from 1 species
ACUGACAUUGUCGCCUUUCUUCACGCUUCAACGUUCAAUUUAUUAACGCAUUCGCAAAUGAUUCCUGGCAUUACGGCAGAAGAAAAGGCUCAAAUCGAGCAGCUUCGAAAUGAACUGCCUGGUAUAAGUCAAACAAAAAUUAAUGAUGGCUUGAUUUUGCGAUGGUUGAGGAACAACUCGAAUGAUGUCAAUGCAACAAGUGAGGCAUUGAAGAAGCACCUCGUAUUCAGAAAAGCUUGGGGUCUCGAUGAAUUGUUGACGAAAUGGGAAAAGCCUGAAGUACUGUUGAAAUACUAUGGACAUGGAUUUCCUGGCUAUGAUCGUGAAGGCAGUCCAAUUUUGUUUUCUCUUCUUGGCAAUGUCGAUGUUGAAGGCUUGUUCAAUUCCUGUCAGCCUCAAGAUUUUGUGAAAAUGAGCCUCACACAUAUUGAAGAAGCUCUUGCGAAAGCGGACGAAAUUGCUAAGAAAGUUCAGUGCAUUUGAAAAUUAACAUUGUUCAGUUUACAUGAGUUGAUUGGUUUAGAAAAGUAUUCCAUAUGAACAGUUCUUACUGAUAAUCGACUUGGAUAAUAUGAGCACAUCUCACUAUAAAUUCAAACCUUUCACAAGCUCUUAUUUGACCCUAUUAGCUCUGUUUCAAGAAAACUAUCCUGGUGCGUGUAAAAAGAUAAUUGUUAUCCAAGCGCCUACAAUAGCUAAGAUAGCUUUCAACUUAUUGGGACCUUUCUUAUCUUCUGAAACGGAACAUCUGAUCGAGAUGCAUUCAGACACUUGGAAAGAAUCUCUUUUUAACUACAUCGACCCGGAUAAAUGGCCAUUCUACUGGGGUGGUAAUAUGAAGGAUGAAAAUGGAGAUGAAAAAUGCUCGAGCAAAAUUGUCUAUGGUCUGGGCCCAGUUCCAGAUUGCUAUAAAUAUGACAUCAAAAAUGAUAAAGAUACAUACACUGAUGUGACAGUUUAUGCUGGAAAUAGUCAUCUUGUUGAGUUGAUGGUGGACAGUCCAGGCAGCAAGCUAUACUGGAAAUAUAAAACUGUGUCUGAAGACAUCGGAUUUGCCGUAUAUUAUUCUGAUAGAGAAGAUAACUCUGAUAUCAAGACAAUGGAAAAUAUUUUCCCGUACAUUCGCCUAGAGUGUUCACUAGUGCCAAUUGAAGGAUCAGUGAUUUGUGAAAAGAAAGGAAAAUAUGUAGUCGAAUUUGACAAUUAUUACAGUUGGUUUUCUGCAAAAGAAUUAUCUUGCAUUGUGAAAGUGAACAAUUCGUGAAAUCAUCUUCAGAAGUGGAAAUCAUUUUCUCUCUUUCUCUCUCUCUCUUUCAGCGCAAAUUGACAUCCAGCUAAAAGAUAUCUAUCUGAAAUUACGCUCCAAAGCUGACUAUGCCACUUUGAAAGAGCACUCGAAAGAUAUUUUGAAAUCUCUGGACACCAUGGAAAAUAUACUUUUUUCCUUGUUUGUUUGUUUUCAGAUUGCACUUUUGAAACUGCAUCCCAAGCGGCUACUUACCACAGCGGCCUCCAAGGUGAAUAGCCUCUGGCCGAUAGAAUAAUGUAGGUAAGGGAAGUCGGCAAAACGGAUCCGUAACUUCGGAACAAGGAUUGGCUCUAAGGGCUGGGCCGAUCGGGCUGAGGUUUCAAGCGUGCAGUGUAUGCUUGGCUGAGUUGUGUUGAGGACUUGUUCACUUGCCGCCGUUUGUUCGGUUGGUCUAGUGUAUUCGAGUCUGAAGCAGAGCUGGCCGACAGACCGGCACGUGCAGAACCUGAGCUGCGCGGCUGUCCGUUUACGUGUACAGACCGUUUCGGUCGGCAUUCAACAGCCAACUUAGAACUGGCACGGACACAAGGAAUCUGACUGUAUAAUUAAAACAAAGCAUUGCGAUGGCCGAUGAUCGGUGAUGACGCAAUGUGGUCUCUGCCCAGUGCUCUGAAUGUCAAAGUGAAGAAAUUCAAUCAAGCGCGGGUAAACGGCGGGAGUAACUAUGACUCUCUUAAGGUAGCCAAAUGCCUCGUCAUCUAAUUAGUGACGCGUAUGAAUGGAUCAACAAGAUUCCUUCUGUCCCUAUCUACUAUCUAGCGAAACCACAGCCAAGGGAACGGGCUUGGCAAAAUCAGCGGGGAAAGAAGACCCUGUUGAGCUUGACUCUAGUCUGACUCUGUGAAGAGACAUGAAAGGUGUAGCAUAGGUGGGAGAUUGUCAAAUUGCCAUCGUUCGCGCGGUGGUCCGGUGAUCGCCAAUGAAAUACCACUACUUUGAUCGUUUCUUUACUUAUUCGGUAAAGCGAAAAAAUUGUGGCCAAUUUGGCGGUGUUUAUGUCGCUGUUGGUCAUUGUUUUCAUGUUAGAUUGAAGCUUUGUUUACAGCCGUCGCUUUGUGUCGCCAUUUGACGCAUUGUUGUACUGGGUUAUCCCGGUGUGUGGUGUAGUCAGUAUGGAUGAUCGGCGAUAGGGUUGAAGUGAUUCGCUCCGGAAACAGUGUCAGACGGGGAGUUUGACUGGGGCGGUACAUCUGUUAAACGAUAACGCAGGUGUCCUAAGGUAAGCUCAGCGAGGACAGAAACCUCGCUUAGAGUAAACGGGCACAAGCUUACUUGAUUUUGAUUUCCAGUACGAAUAGAAACCGCGAAAGCGUGGCCUAUCGAUCCUUUUGAUUGUGUAGAUUUCAUGCAAGAGGUGUCAGAAAAGUUACCACAGGGAUAACUGGCUUGUGGCAGCCAAGCGUCCAUAGCGACGUUGCUUUUUGAUCCUUCGAUGUCGGCUCUUCCUAUCAUUGCGAAGCAGAAUUCGCCAAGCGUUGGAUUGUUCACCCACCAAUAGGGAACGUGAGCUGGGUUAGACCGUCGUGAGACAGGUUAGUUUUACCCUACUGAUGACAAGUCGUUGCGAUAGUAAUCCUGCUCAGUACGAGAGGAACCGCGGGAUCAGACAUUUGGUUCAUGCGCUCGGCUGAAAGGCCGGUGGCGCGAAGCUAGCAUCUGCAAGAUUAUGACUGAACGCCUCUAAGUCAGAAUCUUUUCUAGUCAUUGGCAACGAUAAGUUGCGUCCAGACUCGAUGCGAGGAAACGAUUAGGCUUUGCUAUACGGCGAAGCCAUUAUCAGACCACGGUAGCAGGCAGUAUGGGAUUGUUACGAAAAAGCAAUUUUUUGAAGUCAGUUGAAUUCAAUCAAACUGCUAACAAUUCCACUGCGAAUGACUCCAUUCGAAUCAAUCGAAGCACAGCGGUCAGGAUGUCGAACAUUUUGCAGACGACAAAAAUACCGGUUCAGGUGUCGUAAUCAGUAGAGCAGUCAACACACUGCGAUCUGAUGAGACUCAUCCUUGUAAUCGAUUUGCUCGUCGCGUGUAC